AUGCAUGGGCGAGCCUGAUGCAGCAACGCCGCGUGAGGGAUGACGGCCUUCGGGUUGUAAACCUCUUUUAGCAGGGAAGAAGCGAAAGUGACGGUACCUGCAGAAAAAGCGCCGGCUAACUACGUGCCAGCAGCCGCGGUAAUACGUAGGGCGCAAGCGUUAUCCGGAAUUAUUGGGCGUAAAGAGCUCGUAGGCGGUUUGUCGCGUCUGCUGUGAAAACUGGAGGCUCAACCUCCAGCCUGCAGUGGGUACGGGCAGACUAGAGUGCGGUAGGGGAGAUUGGAAUUCCUGGUGUAGCGGUGGAAUGCGCAGAUAUCAGGAGGAACACCGAUGGCGAAGGCAGAUCUCUGGGCCGUAACUGACGCUGAGGAGCGAAAGGGUGGGGAGCGAACAGGCUUAGAUACCCUGGUAGUCCACCCCGUAAACGUUGGGAACUAGUUGUGGGGGCCUUUCCACGGUCUCCGUGACGCAGCUAACGCAUUAAGUUCCCCGCCUGGGGAGUACGGCCGCAAGGCUAAAACUCAAAUGAAAUUGACGGA
rnacentral:rRNA from 1 species